rnacentral:lncRNA from 1 species
CCCCCUUAAGUUGGAGCAUCAUCGUAAACAACCUUAACUAUUGCAUUUAGCAGCUGAUCAUCCCCUCUACUGACAAUUAUUUAAUUUUUUUCUUGUUAAUAGCCUAUUUAAUUUUUUUUCCUAUUAAGAGUAGGUUUUCUUAUAACAAUUAUAAUUAAGAAAUUUAAUUAAAAUAAAAAGAGGAGCGUGCUAAGCUACAAUAGAUAAGUGAUUUUCAUUAUUUUCUAAGAAAAGCAACAAUAAUAUAAAUUCCAACCCAUUAAUUCUUCACUCUUCCCCAUAAAUUUUUAAAUUCUUUCUCUCUUCUUUCUUUAAUUCUCUAAUCGUAAUAAAAAAAAAAAAAAAAUUCUCUAAUCAAAAUCCUAAAAUUAUAACACUUUUUUCCCUAAAUUUUCGUUCUCUAACCAAAAUCCUAGAAUCCUAUCACCUUUUUGUUUUUUUUUUCUUGGAUGGGAAUUCUCAUUUUCAGAUUCUCUAAUCAAAAUCCUAAAAUUAUAACACUUUUUUCCCUAAAUUUUCGUUCUCUAACCAAAAUCCUAGAAUCCUAUCACCUUUUUGUUUUUUUUUUCUUCUCCUAAUCUGAAAAUGAGAAUUCCCAUCCAAGUAUUUUGAGCUCUCCUCUGAGACUCCUGAUCGCACCGUUUUAAUUCGUCUCCGCUCCCCUGCAAUCUCCAAUCUGCAAAACCCUAAGGUACCCUUUCUCUCCCUCUCUCCGUAAAGACAAUUUGCCUGUUGUAGUGUAGCUAAAUCUCUUCGUAGCCGCCUGAGUUAGGGUUUAAAGCGUUUUAACUUUUUACUCAUCGACUCGUGUGUAUCAGUUAGAUCAAUACGGAGUUCGCUAAUCGUUUUUCAGUGUGGUUUAGGAGAGUUAGUCGAAUCUGGUUUUAGUUAGAUUAGGUUUAACAAAAUUAUUGAGGUAAGAUUUGACUAGUUACUUUUGUUUCAAAUUAAUUUUGAAAAUUCCCUUAGAAAAAAGGUGUAAUAAUGAAGUUAUGUGACUUGUGCGCGUGUCACUGUGCUUCUGGACACUGGUUUGUUUGAAUAGUAGUUGUUCUCUUCUAGAAAAACUCAUUCUACUUAUAUUGUUGGCCUGUAAUACAGGUAG